UUGAAAGGGAAACGAUUGAAGUCAGUCGUGCUGGCGCGAAAUCAACCUUCUCGUCUUGAGAUCACAUGGCGUGGCGAGCCUCAAAACCGUCACGAAGCGUGAACUCUUGGUGAAAUGGAGCACUUUCGUGUCCGCUGGUUAACAUCAAUUUCGAACGUCAUAAAAAGGCUGGAGGGAUGUGGCUCCUUCGGGAGUGUUAUAACCUUUAGCGGAAUGUGGUGUUCGGGAUUGAGGAUUGCAACGAAUACCUUUAGGGCUGUUCCACCUGGCUUCUCUUUGGUAUCCUGGUGACGACAGCUUGCUGACGUCGUUAGGAUUCGCCUUUGAACAGGCUAGAAUGUGAGCAAAUUCGUUAAGGAUGUUGACGUA
rnacentral:rRNA from 1 species